rnacentral:rRNA from 1 species
UCAGGACGAACGCUGGCGGCGUGCUUAACACAUGCAAGUCGAACGGAAAGGCCCGCUUGCGGGUACUCGAGUGGCGAACGGGUGAGUAACACGUGGGCAACCUGCCCUCAGCUUUGGGAUAACUCCCGGAAACGGGUGCUAAUACCGGAUAUUGAUCUUGUGCCGCAUGGUGUGGGGUUGAAAGUUUUUCGGCUGGGGAUGGGCCCGCGGCCUAUCAGCUUGUUGGUGGGGUGAUGGCCUACCAAGGCGACGACGGGUAGCCGGCCUGAGAGGGCGACCGGCCACACUGGAACUGAGACACGGUCCAGACUCCUACGGGAGGCAGCAGUGGGGAAUAUUGCGCAAUGGGCGGAAGCCUGACGCAGCGACGCCGCGUGAGGGAUGAAGGUCUUCGGAUUGUAAACCUCUUUCAGUAGGGACGAAUUUGACGGUACCUGCAGAAGAAGCACCGGCCAACUACGUGCCAGCAGCCGCGGUAAUACGUAGGGUGCGAGCGUUGUCCGGAAUUAUUGGGCGUAAAGAGCUCGUAGGCGGUUCGUCGCGUCGAAUGUGAAAACCCGGGGCUCAACUCCGGGCUUGCAUUCGAUACGGGCGGACUAGAGUUCGGUAGGGGAGACUGGAAUUCCUGGUGUAGCGGUGAAAUGCGCAGAUAUCAGGAGGAACACCGGUGGCGAAGGCGGGUCUCUGGGCCGAUAC